rnacentral:rRNA from 1 species
UUCUUUAAUAGGGGACUGGAAUGAAAGGUAGAUACCAAGGGGAAGGUUUUAUUAGAUCAAUUUGAAUUUAAUUUAAAAAUAAAAAAGUUUUUAUAAAGCCUUGGGACGAGAAGACCCUAGAAGUUUGAAAAUGUAAAAUUUUUUGAUUGGGGCAAUUAAUUGAAGAUUAGUAUUUUUAAUUUUUAAUAUGAAUGUAAUAUAAAUUACUCUAGGGAUAACAGCGUUAUUUAAUUGGGGAGUUCUUAUUUAGAAUUAAGUUUGCGACCUCGAUGUUGAAUUAAAUUAAAUUUAUGGUGAAGGGGCUAUGAUAUUUAGUCUGUUCGACUAUUAAAAGUUUACGUGAUCUGA